ACGUCAUGUAUGUUCCUCCGAAUUGAGGAUCACUAAUUCUUGAGAAAAAUCCCAUUAUAGCGACAAACAUGUAGUACAUGAGUAACUAUAAAGUAAAAAGUAAGAGGUGGCUAGAUUACUCUUGAUAAUGCUCUUAAUGUGUUGAACAUCGACAAAUAAAUUGAAUAGAUAGAGGCGUAAUAAUUUUAAUAAAUUGAUAAAGUCAUAAAGUCCAUUGCGAAGAGAUAUCUUGGCCCUUAUCACUGACCCUGAAAAACGCUAUUUUAGAAUCAUACGAAUAUGAAUACUUAAUCUAACAAUAUUGUAUAAUUAAUUUUUUUUCUAUCGACAACUUGUGGCAAUGGAAAAUAUUGAUUAUUAAUCGCUCUAUUAAACGUGCUAAGUAACUAGA